rnacentral:rRNA from 1 species
UGCAAGUCGAACGGUAGCACAGAGAGCUUGCUCUCGGGUGACGAGUGGCGGACGGGUGAGUAAUGUCUGGGAAACUGCCUGAUGGAGGGGGAUAACUACUGGAAACGGUAGCUAAUACCGCAUAACGUCGCAAGACCAAAGAGGGGGACCUUCGGGCCUCUUGCCAUCAGAUGUGCCCAGAUGGGAUUAGCUAGUAGGUGGGGUAACGGCUCACCUAGGCGACGAUCCCUAGCUGGUCUGAGAGGAUGACCAGCCACACUGGAACUGAGACACGGUCCAGACUCCUACGGGAGGCAGCAGUGGGGAAUAUUGCACAAUGGGCGCAAGCCUGAUGCAGCCAUGCCGCGUGUAUGAAGAAGGCCUUCGGGUUGUAAAGUACUUUCAGCGGGGAGGAAGGUGUUGUGGUUAAUAACCGCAGCAAUUGACGUUACCCGCAGAAGAAGCACCGGCUAACUCCGUGCCAGCAGCCGCGGUAAUACGGAGGGUGCAAGCGUUAAUCGGAAUUACUGGGCGUAAAGCGCACGCAGGCGGUCUGUCAAGUCGGAUGUGAAAUCCCCGGGCUCAACCUGGGAACUGCAUUCGAAACUGGCAGGCUAGAGUCUUGUAGAGGGGGGUAGAAUUCCAGGUGUAGCGGUGAGAUGCGUAGAGAUCUGGAGGAAUACCGGUGGCGAAGGCGGCCCCCUGGACAAAGACUGACGCUCAGGUGCGACAGCGUGGGGAGCAGACAGGAUUAGAUACUCUGGUAGUCCACGCCGUACACGAUGUCGACUUG